ensembl:snoRNA
GCCACUGCGCCCGACCACAGCUGUGUUCUUAUACUGACUGUGUAGAAAGAGAAGGAAAUAAACCUACCCCAUAUGCAUUUCAUCUCCAGGCCCUGCACCUCGUCUAUAUUGUGAAUAGGGAAAUAUGG